UGAUUAGANNCCUGGUAUCCACGCCGUAAACGAUGAGUGCUAAGUGUUAGAGGGUUUCCGCCCUUUAGUGCUGAAGUUAACGCAUUAAGCACUCCGCCUGGGGAGUACGGCCGCAAGGCUGAAACUCAAAGGAAUUGACGGGGGCCGCACAAGCGGUGGAGCAUGUGGUUUAAUUCGAAGCAACGCGAAGAACCUUACCAGGUCUUGACAUCCUCUGAAAACCCUAGAGAUAGGGCUUCUCCUUCGGGAGCAGAGUGACAGGUGGUGCAUG
rnacentral:rRNA from 1 species